rnacentral:rRNA from 1 species
CCUACGGGUGGCAGCAGUGAGGAAUAUUGGUCAAUGGGCGCGAGUCUGAACCAGCCAAGUCGCGUGAAGGAUGACUGCCCUACGGGUUGUAAACUUCUUUUAUAAAGGCAUAAAGUGAGGCACGUGUGCCUUUUUGUAUGUACUUUAUGAAUAAGGAUCGGCUAACUCCGUGCCAGCAGCCGCGGUAAUACGGAGGAUCCGAGCGUUAUCCGGAUUUAUUGGGUUUAAAGGGAGCGUAGAUGGAUUGUUAAGUCAGUUGUGAAAGUUUGGGGCUCAACCGUAAAAUUGCAAUUGAUACUGGUAGUCUUGAGUACAGUUGAGGUAGGCGGAAUGCGUGGUGUAGCGGUGAAAUGCUUAGAGAUCACGAAGAACUCCGAUUGCGAAGGCAGCUUACUAAACUGCCACUGACGUUGAUGCUCGAAAGUGUGGGUAGCAAACAGGAUUAGAUACCCCGGUAGUC